UUAGGACUAGUUUGGGAGACACAA
rnacentral:miRNA from 1 species